rnacentral:rRNA from 1 species
CAAUAGCGUAUAUUAAAGUUGUUGCAGUUAAAAGCUCGUAGUUGGAUUUCGGAGUGGGCCAGUUGGUCCGCCGCAAGGUGUGUUACUGACUGGUUUGCUCUUCUUCGCAAAGACUGCGUGUGCUCUUGAGUGAGUGUGCGUAGAAUUUACGACGUUUACUUUGAAAAAUUAGAGUGUUCAAAGCAGGCUAUUGCUUGAAUACAUGAGCAUGGAAUAAUGGAAUAGGACUUUGGUCCCAUUUUGUUGGUUUCUAGGGCCGAAGUAAUGAUUAAGAGGGACAAUUGGGGGCAUCCGUAUUUCGUUGUCAGAGGUGAAAUUCUUGGAUUUACGAAAGACGAACAACUGCGAAAGCACUUGCCAAAGAUGUUUUCAUUGAUCAAGAACGAAAGUAUGGGGAUCGAAGAUGAUUAGAU